rnacentral:rRNA from 1 species
GUGCCAGCCGCCGCGGUAAUACGAAGGGGCUAGCGUUGUUCGGAAUUACUGGGCGUAAAGCGCACGUAGGCGGACUAUUAAGUCAGGGGUGAAAUCCCGGGGCUCAACCUCGGAACUGCCUUUGAUACUGGUAGUCUCGAGUCCGAGAGAGGUGAGUGGAAUUCCGAGUGUAGAGGUGAAAUUCGUAGAUAUUCGGAGGAACACCAGUGGCGAAGGCGGCUCACUGGCUCGGUACUGACGCUGAGGUGCGAAAGCGUGGGAGCAAACAGGAUUAGAUACCCUGGUAGUCCACGCCGUAAACGAUGGAA